rnacentral:lncRNA from 1 species
AUGAGGGCCUGGGUUGCGGGAACGGGGAACGGUGGAAGAUUCCGGCCGCUGUUCGGCCACAAGCCGCCAUUCGGCCACAAGCUGAGAGAGGCUGGCGGCAGAGCAAGGAGAGAUGGCCUCGCCAGUAGAACUGGGCGCUACUUCGGCGCUCCUGUUCCCCGCGGCAGCAACCAGCAAGUGGGUGAGAACAUGUUCAAGCGUCGCUGGGAUGAGCCGGCACUGAUGAAGGAGGGCGGCAGUAGCAGGGGGAUCGGUGAGAUGACACAGACGAAGGAGGAGGCAAAAGGUGGAGGAGAAAGCAAGAAACCGGGUCAGAUCAAGGUAGGAGAUGUGGUUGUCCCGGUAAAUUCAGAAGUGAAGAAAGGAAAUAAUUGUGUCUGUGAGUUUGAUGAUGAUGAUGAUGAUUUGUUGGAGUUUGAUGAGGAGCCGCGGGUGAUUAGGGACAAGAAAGGGGAUGAUCAAAAGGGUGGUGCACGGGUGAAAGUUUGCUCUAGGGCGGUUGGCUAUGCGGUUGAAGGCCUAGGUUUUCAGCACAUCCCACAUCAACCGCUUCAAAGGAACAAGAAGACUACGAAGAAGGCUCUUGUGCAUGUGGUUGGUGGUGCUCUUUCGGUGGAAAGGAGUGAAGGGAGUAAAGAGGCACAGGAAGGUUCUGAUUUAGAGAAAGAAAUGGAUUUUUCUAUGAUGGCUGAAAAUAUCUUGGAUGUGGCUGUCCAAGAUGUGUUGGAGGAGGUGUAUGAGAGGGUAGAGAGGGAGGAAAUGGAGGAAAAUGAGGCGGGGGUGCAGCAGGAAAAGAUUGUUCAGCUGGCUAAUGUUGGGGAGGUGUUGGUGACACCAAAAAGGGCUAGCGAGAGGUUGAUGGGCAGCAGCGGGAGACAUUCACUUGAAAAGGCUAAGUCCAAAAAGGCAUGGAUGAAUCUCGACCCUCUCUCA